rnacentral:rRNA from 1 species
UACAGAGGGGGCAAGCGUUGUUCGGAAUUACUGGGCGUAAAGGGCGCGUAGGCGGCCCGCUAAGUCGAACGUGAAAUCCCCGAGCUCAACUCGGGAACUGCGUCCGAUACUGGUGGGCCUGAAUCCGGGAGAGGGAUGCGGAAUUCCAGGUGUAGCGGUGAAAUGCGUAGAUAUCUGGAGGAACACCGGUGGCGAAGGCGGCAUCCUGGACCGGCAUUGACGCUGAGGCGCGAAAGCUAGGGUAGCAAACGGG